rnacentral:rRNA from 1 species
UGCCUUAGUAACUGCGAGUGAAGCGGCAAAAGCUCAAAUUUGAAAUCUGACGUUUUUGACGUCCGAAUUGUAAUUUGGAGGGAUAUCUUCGGAGCCGGCGCCGUCCUAAGUUCUUUGGAACCAGACAUCACAGAGGGUGAGAAUCCCGUACCUGGAUGGCUGUCCUGCUCCAUGUGAAGUGUCUCCGACGAGUCGAGUUGUUUGGGAAUGCAGCUCAAAAUGGGUGGUAAAUUUCAUCUAAAGCUAAAUAUUGGCGAGAGACCGAUAGCGCACAAGUAGAGUGAUCGAAAGAUGAAAAGCACUUUGAAAAGAGAGUCAAAUAGUACGUGAAAUUGUUGAAAGGGAAGCGCUUGAGACUAGAUUCAGCCGGCGGUCAUCAGCCAUGUUUUUAUGUGGUGCACUUGCCGUCGGUUGAGCCAGCAUCGGUUCUGAUGGCGGGAUAAAGGUUCCAGGAAUGUGGCUCCGCCAUCUGGUGGAGUGUUAUAGCCUGAAGCGCAAUGCCGCCUGUCGGGACCGAGGACCGCGCUUAUGCUAGGAUGCUGGCUAAAAGGUCUUAAGCGGCCCGUCUUGAAACACGGACCAAGGAGUCUAACAUCUAUGCGAGUGUUCGGGUGGAAAACCCUUGCGCGUAAUGAAAGUGAACGGAGGUGGGAACCCUUUGGGGUGCACCAUCGACCGAUCCCGAUGUUUACGGAAGGAUUUGAGUAGAAGCAUAGCUGUUGGGACCCGAAAGAUGGUGAACUAUGC